rnacentral:rRNA from 1 species
AGGGUUUGAUUAUGGCUCAGAACGUACGCUGGCGGCACGCCUAACACAUGCAAGUCGAACGAAGUAGCAAUACUUAGUGGCAGACGGGUGAGUAACAUGUAGGUAUCUACCCUUUGGCCUGGAAUAACACGAGGAAACUUGUGCUAAUACCGGAUAAGUCUUUACGGAGAAAGCUUUAUGCACCAUUGGAUGAGCCUGCACUUGAUUAGUUUGUUGGUGGGGUAAUGGCCUACCAAGACUGUGAUCAAUAGCUGAUUUGAGAGGAUGAUCAGCCACAUUGGGACUGAGACACGGCCCAAACUCCUACGGGAGGCAGCAGUGGGGAAUCUUGCACAAUGGAGGAAACUCUGAUGCAGCGAUGCCGCGUGAGUGAAGAAGGCCUUUGGGUUGUAAAGCUCUUUCGUCGGGGAAGAAAAUGACUGUACCCGAAUAAGAAGGUCCGGCUAACUUCGUGCCAGCCGCCGCGGUAAUAC